GAGUAUAACUUCCUAUUUUUGUGUUUUUUCCCAUUUAGUUAUUUCUGCUAUUUUUCUCUGUGUUGAGUUCUUUUUGUAGAGAUUAUUGUUAAAUGUGGAGGAUUUUCAUUUGGGGAAUUCAUUUUUAUAUAAUUGAUAUUGGAAUAGGAUGAGUCUGAUGAGAUGCUAAGCUAGGUUUUAAGGAUCAAAUUUUUGAUGUCUACAGAUACCUUCCUCUGUGUGUGUUUGUAGAUAGAUAUUGGCAUUGCAUUCGGGAUUUAGGGGUGAUUUUUUUUAGUAAUGAAAAUCUUUAUCAUGGUUCAUGUGUUCUUGAUGCUAGUUUAUGACAAUUUUGUUUGUAUUUACUUAUCUAAGGAUGCACCUAGCUUGUGCUAGGACAUAAUUUGGGUUUGCAUUACUGGUAGUUCGCUACUCACACAUGGUGAUGUGUGCAGAUCCUACAGGGAGUGGCAUGGUUGAAUAUUUAGAAUAUAUAAUAUUUGAACUUUAUUAUAGGUGGUUUUGUGAUAUUUGCUACCCUUCCUAAUAAAAUUUGGGUGAUGACGAGCAAAUUUAUGACUGAUCUUGUUAGGAUUCUUGUUAAACGUGUUGAGUUGACUCUUGAGGUAACUUGUCUUUUUCUCUUUAUUUUCCUUUUGAGAAUCUAAAAUUCAAAUUUCGUUCCUUGUUAAUUGCUUUUUAACUAUUUUCCGAAUAUUAUUGGGCAUCAAGCAGUUCUUCGUUGCAAUAGAAAGGGAGGAGUGGAAGUUUGAUACUUUGUGUGAUCUUUAUGAUACCCUUACCAUCACCCAAGCUGUUAUUUUCUGCAAGACAAAGCGGAAGGUAAAGGGUACACUCCUUGUCUUGGUCAACUCCCUUGUAGUGUCAACUUACAUGUCCAUCAUUCUACUGUUUCAUUCUAUCCAGUUGAUCAAGGGACAAAUUGGCUGCUGAAACUUUCAGGGUUGAUUGGCUAAGAUGCGUAGCAACAACUUUACUGGUCUCUUCUAUGCAUGGAGAUAUGCCCUAGAAGGAGAGAUGCAAUAAUGAAAGAGUUCCGGGAUGGUGACACCCGCGUUGUGAUCACUACUAAUAUUUGGGAUUAAGGACUGGAUGUUCAACAGGCAAGUACUCUCUUUCAUUUAGUUGUACAUACACUUUUGUAUUAUUCUGUGAAGUUUCCUUCUAGCUACGAUUUGCAAAGGGACUAGUUAAUAGUUAUGUCGAGUCGUCGACAAUUCUGAACUGGUGAUGCUAUUUAUGUACUCAGCUAAUCUAUAUUUAUUUAACAUAAUUUCUAGCCCAACCAGAUCUAAUUGCAUUGGCAAUUUCAGAUGUUGAAAACACAAAUUGGUGGAUUUGAUGUUACCUUGGUUUAAUACGGAUUAUAGUGUACGUAGUACGUACUAGAUCCGAAAUGUACUUGUUGCCUCGAAUCUGAUGUUGCCUUGGUCUACUAUGGAUCAAAGUUUCCAUACCAGAUCCAAUAAGUAUUUGUUGCCUUGAAUUAAUCUCUCAUUGCAAGUGUUGGAUCAAUUUUAUAGAUACAAAAAUUUGUGUGUUGCUUCGGUUGAAAAUAAAAGGACCAUGUUUGCUUGAUGAGAUGGAAAUAAAGUACUGGUUACUUCUUCCUAGUAGUGUAUACGAGAAAAACACAUGGCGGUUAGUAGGCUUUUGGACUACUAGUCAUCUGAAGGAAAAUAGUGAAACACAUGACUGUUAGUAGGUGUUUAGACUACUAGUCAUGUGAAAAGAAAAUUGUGAUUCCUAGUAGGUGUAAAGAUUACUAAUCACUAAGUGAUAAGAACUCUGAAAGUGUGCAUUUCAAAUUAUGCAAUCGAAAAAACAGUGGUUCCUAGUAGGUUAACAAGACUACUGGCCACAAUAAGUAGCUCAUAGUAAAAGGCUACUGGUCACUGAAAAAGUGAUUCCUAGUAGAGGGCUACUAGCUACAGAGGAGGGAAGUUGUCGAAAUCUUGUUAGACCAAGUAUCUUUGAUGGGUCUAAAACAUAUGUUGCUCCGAUUCAAAAGAAAGGCCCAAUUCAUCUUAGAAGUUUAUUAUUGAGAAUUUUUUGUUGGCUUGAUUGGUUUUGGAACAUGUGGAUGUGAUGUCACGUCGAUUUAAUAUGGAUUAGAGUUUACGUACUAGAUCCAAAUGGUACUUCUUUCCUUGAAUCGAUGUUUACUCGGUCAAAUAUGGAUCAAAGUUUUCAAACUAGAUUCAUUAAGUAGAAGAUGGUAAUUCCUAGUAGGUGUAAAAACUACUAAUCACCAAGUGAUAAGAACUCUGAAAGAGUGCGUUUCAAUUAUGAAAUCGGGAAAAAAGUGUUUUUUAGUAGGUGAAUGAGACUACGGAUCACAAUUUGUAGCUCCUAGUAGAUGGCUACUGAUCACUGAAAAAGUGAUUCCUAUUAGAGGGCUACUGGCUACCGAGGAUGGAAUUUAUCAAAAUCUUGUCAGACCUAGUAUGUUUGAUGGGUCUAAAAUAAAUGUUGCUCCGAUUCAAAGAAAAGUCCAAUCCAUCUUGUAAGUCCAUUAUUGGGAAAUAUUUGUGGCCUGAGGAAUCCGAUGACAAUUAGAACAAACAAUUGGUGGAAUAUCUUUCCACAGACUUUGCAAUCCUUGAUUCAGAAGAAAAAGAAAGUUCAUGAGGAACUCAUUUAUAUCAGAAGUUCUUGUUUCAGUUUUCAGACAAAUUGGUGUAGGCGUAAACUUGCAGGUUAGAAAUCUUAUAAUGUCUUGACGUCCUGUUUGUAUGUCAUUAUGUUGCUUCUUGGCGAUGUUACACUUAAAAUUGCUAUUCAUCUUUUGAUCUUUUGUCUAUCCUCGUUACUUUGGUUUAAAAAAGUGGUAGGUAUAGUUUCCCACAAUGAGACUUUGUAGUUUGCUAACUUGAGUACUAUUUUGGGAAUCCCAAGUUUGCUUCUGUGAUAUGUCCAAAAUAACUGCUUCAGUUUACUUUGUUCUCCUAAUUU